rnacentral:rRNA from 1 species
AGUGGCGAACGGGUGAGUAAUACAUCGGAACAUGUCCUGUAGUGGGGGAUAGCCCGGCGAAAGCCGGAUUAAUACCGCAUACGAUCUGAGGAUGAAAGCGGGGGACCUUCGGGCCUCACGCUAUAGGGUUGGCCGAUGGCUGAUUAGCUAGUUGGUGGGGUAAAGGCCUACCAAGGCGACGAUCAGUAGCUGGUCUGAGAGGACGACCAGCCACACUGGGACUGAGACACGGCCCAGACUCCUACGGGAGGCAGCAGUGGGGAAUUUUGGACAAUGGGCGAAAGCCUGAUCCAGCAAUGCCGCGUGUGUGAAGAAGGCCUUCGGGUUGUAAAGCACUUUUGUCCGGAAAGAAAUCCUUGGUUCUAAUAUAGCCGGGGGAUGACGGUACCGGAAGAAUAAGCACCGGCUAACUACGUGCCAGCAGCCACGGUAAUACGUAGGGUGCAAGCGUUAAUCGGAAUUACUGGGCGUAAAGCGUGCGCAGGCGGUUUGCUAAGACCGAUGUGAAAUCCCCGGGCUCAACCUGGGAACUGCAUUGGUGACUGGCAGGCUAGAGUAUGGCAGAGGGGGGUAGAAUUCCACGUGUAGCAGUGAAAUGCGUAGAGAUGUGGAGGAAUACCGAUGGCGAANGCAGCCCCCUGGGCCAAUACUGACGCUCAUGCACGAAAGCGUGGGGAGCAGACAGGAUUAGAUACCCUGGUAGUCCACGACCUAAACGAUGUCAACUAGUUGUUGGGGAUUCAUUUCCUUAGUAACGUA